rnacentral:rRNA from 1 species
ACCACACGAAGCUGGAAUCGCUAGUAAUCGCGAAUCAGAAUGUCGCGGUGAAUACGUUCCCGGGUCUUGUACACACCGCCCGUCACACCAUGGGAGUCAGCAACGCCCGAAGUCAGUGACCUAACCGAAAGGGAGGAGCUGCCGAAGGCGGGGCCGGUAACUGGGGUGAAGUCGUAACAAGGUAUC